UACGUAGGUGACAAGAGUUGUCCGGAUUUACUGGGCGUAAAGAGCGCGCAGGCGGUCGAUCAAGUCGAGUGUGAAAGCCCCCGGCUCAACUGGGGAGGGUCAUUCGAUACUGAUCGACUCGAAGGCAGGAGAGGGUAGUGGAAUUCCCGGUGUAGUGGUGAAAUGCGUAGAUAUCGGGAGGAACACCAAUGGCGAAGGCAGCUCGCUGGGACGUGACUGACGCUGAGACGCGAAAGCGUGGGGAGCAAACAGG
rnacentral:rRNA from 1 species